rnacentral:rRNA from 2 species
GUUUAGACAGCCAGGAGGUUGGCUUAGAAGCAGCCAUCCUUUAAAGAAAGCGUAAUAGCUCACUGGUCUAAUGACUCCGCGCCGAAAAUGUAACGGGGCUAAGCACAUUACCGAAGCUUCGGGUUCACGAUUUAUCGUGAGCGGUAGGAGAGCGUUCUCACAGCGUUGAAGGUGAAGGCGUAAGCCACGCUGGAGAUGUGAGAAGUGAAUAUGCUGGCAUGAGUAACGAUAAAGGAAGUGAGAAACUUCCUCGCCGUAAAUCCAAGGUUUUCUGGGUAAAGGUAAUCUGCCCAGAGUUAGUCGGCCCCUAAGGUGAGGCAGAAAUGCGUAACUGAUGGGAAACAGGUUAAUAUUCCUGUACCUCGUAAAGUGUGCGAUGGAGGAACGCAGGAGGAUAGCUCAUCCGGGUGUUGGAUAUCCCGGUGUAAGCAAGUAGGCUUGAGGAAUUGGUAAAUCCGUUCUUCUUAUGGCUGAGAUGCGAUGCCGUGACCGCAAGGUCUGAAGUGAGUGAGUCCAUGCUGCCAAGAAAAGCUUCUAAGUUUAGCUUUACGAGACCGUACCGUAAACCGACUCAGGUGGAUGGGGUGAGUAACCCAAGGCGUUUGAGAUAACUCUGGCUAAGGAAUUCGGCAAAAUGACCCCGUAAGUUCGCAAUAAGGGGUGCUCCUAAGGGUUAACAAUUUACUUGCUAAGCCCUCGGGAGCCGCAGAUAAAUGGGGGGGGCGACUGUUUACUAAAAACAUAGGGCUCUGCGAAGUCGUAAGACGACGUAUAGGGCCUGACGCCUGCCCGGUGCUGGAAGGUUAAGGGGAGAUGUUAGUCUUUGACGAAGCAUUGAACCGAAGCCCCAGUAAACGGCGGCCGUAACUAUAACGGUCCUAAGGUAGCGAAAUUCCUUGUCGGGUAAGUUCCGACCUGCACGAAUGGCGUAACGAUCUCCCCACUGUCUCGGCCAGAGACUCAGUGAAAUUGAAUUGGCGGUGAAGAUGCCGUCUACCCGCAGCAAGACGGAAAGACCCUGUGCACCUUUACUACAGCUUGACAUUGGAUUUUGGAUUAACAUGUGUAGGAUAGGUGGGAGGCUUUGAAGUCGGCACGCUAGUGUCGGUGGAGCCAUCCUUGAAAUACCACCCUUGUUAAUUUAAGGUUCUAAUCCG